GAUAAACGCUGGCGGCGUGCAUGAGACAUGCAAGUCGGACGAGUGACUCGGGCUUGCUCGAGUCACUAGUGGCGGACGGCUGAGUAACGCGUAGGUGACCUGCCCCGAAGUGGGGGAUAACUGCCCGAAAGGGUAGGCUAAUACCGCAUGUGGUCACACGUUCGAUCGUGUGAGUGAAGCUGCAAGGCGCUUCGGGAGGGGCCUGCGUCCGAUUAGCUCGNGGUGGGGUAACGGCUCACCAAGGCGACGAUCGGUAGGUGGUCUGAGAGGACGAUCACCCAGACUGGGGACUGAGACACGG
rnacentral:rRNA from 1 species